rnacentral:tRNA from 1 species
GUCAAGAUAGUUGAGUUUGUUAUAAGUGCAAGGUUUAGUUAUUGGUUUAAAAGGGCAUGGUUUCAAAUCCCAUUCUUGACA